rnacentral:rRNA from 1 species
UACGUAGGGUGCGAGCGUUGUCCGGAAUUAUUGGGCGUAAAGGGCUCGUAGGCGGUUUGUCACGUCGGGAGUGAAAACUCAGGGCUUAACCCUGAGCCUGCUUCCGAUACGGGCAGACUAGAGGUAUGCAGGGGAGAACGGAAUUCCUGGUGUAGCGGUGAAUGCGCAGAUAUCAGGAGGAACACCAGUGGCGAAGGCAG